GUGCUCGCUUCGGCAGCACAUAUACUAAAAUUGGAUCGAUACAGAGAAGAUUAGCAUGGCCCCUGCGAAAGGAUGACACGCAAAUCCGUGUAGCGCUCCAUAUUUUC
ensembl:snRNA U6 U6 spliceosomal RNA